UUUGUAUUAAAAACAAGGAAUACUACUACAACAUGCAACAAUUGAAAUGUUUAUUUUAUUCAUGAAGGGAGAACACCAUGCGAUAGCAAACACAAGGGAUUCUCACCAUAGACGGAGCUACAAGAUGCUACUCAUCCGUAUAUUACAUGAGAGGAAAAUAAGGCAGGUUUCUGUGAAUCCACUGUGCCCAAUGGAGCUUGCUUUACACAUCCACUCUUGCAAUUAUCUAUUGAAACAUAGCACAUGUCGUUCAUUAAACAACAGAAACAAUAUGAUUUCUCUUUACACAAAGAACUUUCUUUUCUAUAGAUGCAUAAUCCUGGUAUGUUGACCUUCAUAUUUUCUUGGUCUUCCAUCAGUUGGCCUACAAGAUAUAGGAUAAUAGUCAAUAUCAUAAAUUUAUUGUCCGAUGAGCUAUAGUGAAAUGAAUACAGUCAUAGCCAAAAGUACAAUUACAUAUGAAUCCAUAAGCACCUCUAGAGGAGAAAUAUUAUGCACAACAUAUGUACUAUCUGUUUACUUCAGUAAAAGUAUUCAAAACUAAUACUAAAUCAUAUGUACAAAUGGUGCAUUUGUAUACACUCACAGUGUGUAUUGAUCAUAGAGGACAAGAGAAGUGCAUAGAUUAUGGUCGCUGCAGUGAAGGUCUUCAUGUACUUUUCCAUCUUGUUUGCACAAUGCAAAGGCAAGUGCUUUUUAGCGUUCCAAACAGAAAAGGUACAACGGAAGAAUUUUGGUGUAUCCUA
rnacentral:lncRNA from 1 species